rfam:Triticum urartu cultivar G1812 contig294743, whole genome shotgun sequence.
CUAUUACUCCCUUCGUCCGAAAUUACUUGUCACAGAAAUGGAUAAAAACAAAUGUAUGUAAGACUAAAAUACGUCUACAUACAUUCAUUUUUUGGACAAGUAAUUCUGGACGAAGGGGGUAUUUG